ensembl:lincRNA
GGAGGAAAGAGGCGAGGCAAGAAGGCGACGCGAAGGAGACGGGGCGGCGCGGCGGGACGAGAGGGAAUGAAUGGGAGAAUUUAGAGGCAAGGUCAGAGGUCACCGGAAGCUCUCCCAGUCCUCCCUGGCAUGUAGGUUUCUGCUUUGUACACAGUAGGGCGUUACGUUUUCAGGGAUGUCUGCACCUGGCUAUGGGAAAUUUAUGGGUGCCCCCCAAGUCAGUCACGUUUCUGCAUUUUGACACCCGCCAGGGCCUUCUCACAUGGAAGUGGCCCAGUAGUCAUGUCCUUGGCAACAAGCAGACCUUGUCUGUGCCAGGAACAGACUGUGACAAGUGGCCGGAGAUACAGCUGGAGGGAUGGAAAGGAAUCCAGGAGCUGAGACGCCAAAUCCUCGCCACCACAGUCACCAGGCUGAUUCCAACUGUUGCAGCAGCAGGGAAAGGAUACUGAAGACUUCAAGCCCAGCAAGUAUCCUUAGGAUCAAAAGGUCUUGGCCACGUAUAAUUAUUCUGUGAAGGGGUCAGAAAUCUCAAUGUUCAGUCCAACAGUGACACUGCUAAGCAUCAUAAUUUGGUGAGUUAAUAUAUAACAUUCACAGAAGACACCCAUCAGUGUAAACUAACCAUCUCACAGUUUGGAGCAUUUUUGGAAUAUCUCUUAGGUCCAGAUUCUUGAAAACUUGGACUGUUCUAGCAAAAAUACAUCAUUUAAAUGUAAAAAUAAAUACGAAUAUUCAGUAAUGUAAUUAAUAGAUAAAUUAACAUAGCUUGUAGCUAGAUCCUUGCUCUCCAGUUGUGGCCUGUGACAUAUAUAUAUAUAUAGGGUGACAAGACAUCCCAGUUUGCCCAGGACUGAGGGAUUUCCCUGCAUUCAGAAUUUUCACUGCUAAAACCAGGAAGGUCUUAGGCAAACCAGAACAUGUUGGUCACUUUAUCCCUGAGUUGGUAGUAUUGACAUCCACUAGAAGAGCUGUUUGAACAUGCAGAACCUCAAACCCCACUCCAAGCCCAUAUUAACAAGAUCCCCAGCAGAGUCGGAUGCACGGUAAUGUCUGUCAUCUAUCAUGGAUUGAAUUGUGUCCUUUCAAAAGAUAUAUUGAAGUCCAGGCUAGAUACGGCUGAAGUCCUAAUCCCAGUACCUCAGAAUGUGAUCUUAUUUGGAAAUGGGGUUGUUACAGAUAUCAUUAAGACAAAGUCAUAGUGGAGUUGUGGGGGCCCUUAAUCCAAGCACUUUUAAGGGCUAAUAUCCUUAAGAGACAUAGGGAGAGGGUCAUAUGAAAACACAAAGACGCACAGGGAGAAGGCCAUUGUGACAAGAGAAGUAGAGGUCAAAGAGUGCCAAGGAUUGAUAGUCACCUCCAUAAGCUAGGAAGAGGCAAGGAAAGAUUCUACCCAGAGUCUCAGGAGAGGAUGGCCCUGCUGACACUUUGAUGUCAGACUCCUAGCCUCUAGAACUGUGAGAUAAUACAUUUCUGUUUUUUUUUAAAGCCACCCAGUUUGUGGUACUUUGUUACAGCAGCCACAGGAAACUAUCACGUGUCUAAGAUUCACUGAUCUAUAAUGCAUCAAUAUAUAACCACAGCUACCAUAUCACCAAGCAACUCACAGUAGCACCAUUUACAAUAGCCGAAAUGUGAAAACAUCCUAAAUAAAUGUCCAGUGACAAAUAGAUUAACAAAAUUUAUUUGGUGGCAUAUCUAUACUAUGGGAUAUUAUUCAUCCAUAAAAAGGGAUGAAGUACUGAUGCAUGAUACAACUUGGGUGAACCUUGAAAACAUUAUGCUGAGUGAAAGCCAGAUGCAAAAGGAUGCAUAUGUAUAAUUCUAUUUAUAUGAACUGUCAAGAACAGGCAAAUCCAUAGGCAGAUUAGUGGUUGCCAAGGGCUAACCCUAAUGGAGAGUCACUGCUUAAUGGGUAUGGGGUUUAUUCUUGUGGUAACGAAUAAAUCCUGGAGCUAGAUAGUAGUGAUGAUUAUGCAAUAGUGUGAAUGUACUUAAUGUUGCUGAAUUGUACACCUUAAAAUAGGUAAAAUGGUAAACUGUAUGUUAUGUGUAUUUUAUCACACACAAAAAUAAUAUGUAACCAUAGCAAGUCCAAGUGUCCUGUGGCCUGAAGGAAUGAUGUAGUUGGGGAGCUGAAGGAAGAACAGCAAGGCUCAGUAGCAGGAGGCCAAGAAGGUAUAGAGAAGGCUGGAGAGAGGUCAGCCCAUCCAGAUCUUUUUAGGUGACAUUAAGAAUUUUAAUCUUUUGCCUAAGAGUAAGAGAAGUGUUUACUUUCUAUUUGCUUCAAAUUCAGCAAGUAGUUCAAGGAAAACUGGACUGCUACCAAAGCAUCGAUAAUCCUACUGUCAGCCCCUCUAUCUGUUAUUCACAUAACAACACAGUGAUUUUGUUCAAACACAAACCAUUUCGUGUCACUCUUUGGCUUAAAAUUCUCUAGUGGCUUCCCGUCAAUGUACUUGGAAUCAAAUUUUAACUGUUUGCCCUGACUUACAAAGCAUAUAUGAGGCUGGGCGCAGUGGUUCAUGCCUGUAAUACCAGCAUUUUGGGAGGAUGAGGCAAGUAGAUUUCUUGAGCUCAGGAGUUCAAGAUGAGCCUGG